CGCACCCUGGGGUUGGGCGAUAGUUCAGCGGGAGCUAUACUAUACAGAUAUAAAUUGCUUCUUUCAUUUUUUGUGUGAUUUUAAUUGAUACUUGCAAGUUGCAAUUAUUCAAUUUUACUCGUUUUCAAACCCUAGAAUUAUUGGUUGGAUCAAAGCAGAGUUGAAUCGCCGAGUCUCUAAUAGCAAAGGGCGAAUAUUGCUGAAUGUUGCCUCUCACACUAUUAGCCAUGUUCUUGACAUGGAUAUGUGGACAAACAUUCAUCGUCGAAAGAAAUACCUUUAAGAAGCUUAAGGUGUAGUCAUUGGAUGUACCGCGCUACAAGAUAAAUAAAAACCCACAAAGGGGACUAAUUGCAUUGAUCGGAAUGAGCUACACCGAGGAUAUGAGUCGGGAUAUCAUCAAACCACAUUCGAUGACCAAUCUCCCAAGGUUGAAGACGAGCCACCUCAUAUGCUACCCUAUUCCUUCCCCUAUUAACAAAACACCAUUUAACAGUAUUAAAGUUUGAACAAAAGCAUAAAAUAUCCUCUAAGAUAAGAAAAAAUUCACUUGAGCCCAAUCUUCGAUCACGCAAUGCUUGAACAACCUGCAAGCCAAUUUGAGACCCCGACUUAUAGCCUUUGCUUCUACCACCUUCACUUCCCAUUUAUCCCCACACUGAAAAGUCCCUACAGCCAAUACUACUCCUGCACUAUCCCUAAUCACAUCACCAAAAUCACUGCCAACACUAUCAAUACAGUACGCAUCCACAUUUAGCUUGCACCAUCUAAUUCCAGGAGGUGCCCAAGCCGAGGGCAACCCAGCAAGCCUUGCAGACCCACCACUUGAACUUGCAGCCUUCUCACUCGUAUCAGCUACUUCUGCAACAGUCUUCGUAGCAUAAUCUGAAAGGUGUGGACAACUCAGCAGACCCUGCAGACCCACCACUAGUGGACUAGUUCUUAAUAUGCUCUUAAAGUUGUAGUUUUCUCAGCAUGUAUUGGAAAAGGCAAUGUAGGCGCAAUAAGAGAAUAGGCCGGGACACUUGAGCAUCAAAAUAAGAGACUAUACCAUCUACAAGGUCAUCAUCUAUCUAUUUUGGUUGUUAGUCUUAUAUUAGUGAUGUAUUUAUUUAGGGACAAGCUACUAUAAUAUGCGAUUUUUUUUUUAUUAUUAUUAAUUGUGUUGAUGUUUUCUUUUAUAAAUUUGGUAUUAACUACGUACUCUUA